rnacentral:rRNA from 1 species
GCUCGAUGGAGGGGGAUAACUACUGGAAACGGUAGCUAAUACCGCAUAACGUCGCAAGACCAAAGAGGGGGACCUUCGGGCCUCUUGCCAUCGGAUGUGCCCAGAUGGGAUUAGCUAGUAGGUGGGGUAACGGCUCACCUAGGCGACGAUCCCUAGCUGGUCUGAGAGGAUGACCAGCCACACUGGAACUGAGACACGGUCCAG